UACGGAGGAUGCAAGCGUUAUCCGGAUUUAUUGGGCGUAAAGCGUCCGCAGGUGGCUAUUCAAGUCCGCUGUCAAAGCUCGGAGCUUAACUCCGAAUCGGCGGUGGAAACUGAACAGCUAGAGUGCAGUAGGGGUAGAGGGAAUUCCCAGUGUAGCGGUGAAAUGCGUAGAGAUUGGGAAGAACACCGGUGGCGAAAGCGCUCUACUGGACUGCAACUGACACUCAGGGACGAAAGCUAGGGGAGCGAAUGGG
rnacentral:rRNA from 1 species